rnacentral:rRNA from 1 species
UACGGGGGGGAGCAAGCGUUGUUCGGAUUUACUGGGCGUAAAGGGCGCGUAGGCGGCCACCGCAAGUCAAUUGUGAAAUCUCCGGGCUUAACUCGGAAAGGUCAACUGAUACUGCGGGGCUAGAGUGCGGAAGGGGCAACUGGAAUUCUCGGUGUAGCGGUGAAAUGCGUAGAUAUCGAGAGGAACACCUGCGGCGAAGGCGGGUUGCUGGGCCGACACUGACGCUGAUGCACGAAAGCGUGGGGAGCAAACAGG